UAGAGUUGCCUGAUGUUAUGC
rnacentral:siRNA from 1 species